AUUGAACGCUGGCGGCAUGCCUUACACAUGCAAGUCGAACGGUAACAGGUCUUCGGAUGCUGACGAGUGGCGAACGGGUGAGUAAUACAUCGGAACGUGCCCGAUCGUGGGGGAUAACGGAGCGAAAGCUUUGCCAAUACCGCAUACGAUCUACGGAUGAAAGCAGGGGACCGCAAGGCCUUGCGCGGACGGAGCGGCCGAUGGCAGAUUAGGUAGUUGGUGGGAUAAAAGCUUACCAAGCCGACGAUCUGUAGCUGGUCUGAGAGGACGACCAGCCACACUGGGACUGAGACACGGCCCAGACUCCUACGGGAGGCAGCAGUGGGGAAUUUUGGACAAUGGGCGAAAGCCUGAUCCAGCCAUGCCGCGUGCAGGAUGAAGGCCUUCGGGUUGUAAACUGCUUUUGUACGGAACGAAAAGACUCUUUCUAAUAAAGAGGGUCCAUGACGGUACCGUAAGAAUAAGCACCGGCUAACUACGUG
rnacentral:rRNA from 1 species